ACUCAGAGCAUGGUGAUAGUGGUGUGGUUUAGAGCCUGACCUUAAACUUAGAGAUCUGGGAGUUUCGGAGAAACUGAAAACAGACACGUUAGUGACUAAAGAGAAAGGUGAAGAUAUGGACAAGUGAACAAAAACGCCCAGAAUUCAAGACAGGCAAUAAUAGUGGGUGGCUUUCAACAUCCCCCCACAGUAAGACCGACUCAGUUAGUACCACAGAACAUUACAAGACACUUAGAAGCUCCUUAAAGACAGAAACCUCAUCAUAUCUGCUGUGGGGGACGCUGGUUUGUGACUGAAAGAAAAACACUGAGCUUCCCAGGAAGCGAGGAUGUGCAGCAGCCAGAACAGUUGGUGUAAUGCACCAGAGGGCAGAUGAACGCAACCCACCAAACAUACAUCAGGGUUUACUCAAUCCAAGGCGCUGUUUUACGUGAAGAUGUGAAAAUGAGCCAGAUACAAGCCCCACCUCAAGCCCUCAAACUGGUUCAAACUGGUUCAAGAGCCACCCAGAGACAAAUCUCUAACAAAAGUCAGACUAUGCCAACUGUCCCCAUCAACUAAAAAAGCAAAAGAGAAAAGAAAUGAAUACACUGACCAGAGGAUGUCAGAACCUCACAGGCAACUUGCUCCCUAAUGUGGGACUAUCUGCUCCUCGCCGGCCUGCUAUUGUGUGUCACUUAACAAGCGUCCAGGCUUGUCACCAUGCCUCACAUUGACAUCUGUCAGCACCCUCAGUCCCUUACAUCAUUCAUAACCAACAGACGUCCUUGUGGUUUCACACUGACCCAGCCCAAUUCUUAGUAAAACCGCUUCCAGUUGACACUGGUGCUGAAUGGAAGAAACACACCAGGUCCUUUAGCUGUUAGAAACUCUGGAAUCUCUCUGUGGAUCUCUUCUCCCUUUGAUGCUGAGCAGUUUGAUCCUUCUCCUGACCUCUGAACUCCAACCCUUGGAAGAACUUGUCCCCCUUUCUAAUCACCUUCUUCUGUACAUCUUCAACAUUUUCCUUCCAAACCAUACAUCCCUGUGAGGAGUGGGUGUGGCAGCAGUCUCAAGAUGGCACCCGGGACUGCAGCCAAGUCUUAUGACUUGCACCUGACUUCCUCAUACACCUGAAAAUAAGCCACGACCAUCGCGAGAACUGCGCAGGUGCACCAUGAUGCAAGAUCGGACCAUAUGACGAGUGAUGAUUCUGGUCAAUGAACUGUUGUUACGUGGACUGGGCUGAUGGGGUGUGGUUGAGAGGAUAUAUAAGGGAUUGCGAUUGGGGGUGGGUUGUUGUUUUUUCCUGGAGAGAUUGAUUUCUGGAGAGAGAUUCAUGCAUGAUGUUGAAAGGUUCCUGAAUAAACUGCUUUGAGAAGUA
rnacentral:lncRNA from 1 species